GACGAACGCUGGCGGCGUGCCUAAUACAUGCAAGUUGAGCGCUGAAGGUUGGUACUUGUACCGACUGGAUGAGCAGCGAACGGGUGAGUAACGCGUGGGGAAUCUGCCUUUGAGCGGGGGACAACAUUUGGAAACGAAUGCUAAUACCGCAUAAAAACUUUAAACACAAGUUUUAAGUUUGAAAGAUGCAAUUGCAUCACUCAAAGAUGAUCCCGCGUUGUAUUAGCUAGUUGGUGAGGUAAAGGCUCACCAAGGCGAUGAUACAUAGCCGACCUGAGAGGGUGAUCGGCCACAUUGGGACGGAGACACGGCCCAAACUCCUACGGGAGGCAGCAGUAGGGAAUCUUCGGCAAUGGACGAAAGUCUGACCGAGCAACGCCGCGUGAGUGAAGAAGGGUGUCGGAUCGUAAAACUCUGUUGGUAGAGAAGAACGUUGGUGAGAGUGGAAAGCUCAUCAAGUGACGGUAACUACCCAGAAAGGGACGGCUAACUACGUG
rnacentral:rRNA from 1 species